UAAAGCCUACGGGAGGCAGCAGUGAGGAAUAUUGGUCAAUGGUCGGGAGACUGAACCAGCCAAGCCGCGUGAGGGAUGAAGGUACAGAGUAUCUUAAACCUCUUUUGUCAGGGAACAAAGGCGGGGACGUGUCCCCGGAUGAGUGUACCUGAAGAAAAAGCCUCGGCUAACUCCGUGCCAGCAGCCGCGGUAAUACGGCGGAUGCGAGCGUUAUCCGGAUUUAUUUGGUUUAAA
rnacentral:rRNA from 1 species